rnacentral:rRNA from 1 species
UACGUAGGGGGCAAGCGUUGUCCGGAUUUAUUGGGCGUAAAGAGCGUGUAGGCGGCCAGAUAGGUCCGUUGUGAAAACUCGAGGCUCAACCUCGAGACGCCGAUGGAAACCAUUUGGCUAGAGUCCGGAAGAGGAGAGUGGAAUUCCUGGUGUAGCGGUGAAAUGCGCAGAUAUCAGGAAGAACACCCGUGGCUAAGGCGGCUCUCUAGUACGGUAUUGACGCUGAGACGCGAAAGCGUGGGGGAGCGAACAGG